AUUGAACGCUGGCGGCAGGCCUAACACAUGCAAGUCGAACGAGUGGCGGACGGGUGAGUAAUGUCUGGGAAACUGCCCGAUGGAGGGGGAUAACUACUGGAAACGGUAGCUAAUACCGCAUAUCAUCGGAUGUGCCCAGAUGGGAUUAGCUAGUAGGUGGGGUAAAGGCUCACCUAGGCGACGAUCCCUAGCUGGUCUGAGAGGAUGACCGGCCACCCUGGAACGAGGACACGGUCCAGACUCCUCCGGAAGGCCGCAGUGGGGAAUAUUGCACAAGGGGCGCAAGCCUGACGCAGACAUGCCGCGUGUAUGAAGAAGGCCUUCGGGUUGUAAAGUCCUUUCAGCGGGGAGGCGUUACCGGCAGAAGAAGCACCGGCUAACUCCGUGCCAGCAGCCGCGGUAAUAC
rnacentral:rRNA from 1 species